UCAUCUCCGGGGGUAGAGCACUGUUUCGGCAAGGGGGUCAUCCCGACUUACCAACCCGAUGCAAACUGCGAAUACCGGAGAAUGUUAUCACGGGAGACACACGGCGGGUGCUAACGUCCGUCGUGAAGAGGGAAACAACCCAGACCGCCAGCUAAGGUCCCAAAGUCAUGGUUAAGUGGGAAACGAUGUGGGAAGGCCCAGACAGCCAGGAUGUUGGCUUAGAAGCAGCCAUCAUUUAAAGAAAGCGUAAUAGCUCACUGGUCGAGUCGGCCUGCGCGGAAGAUGUAACGGGGCUAAACCAUGCACCGAAGCUGCGGCAGCGACGCUGAUGCGUUGUUGGGUAGGGGAGCGUUCUGUAAGCCUGUGAAGGUGUACUGUGAGGUAUGCUGGAGGUAUCAGAAGUGCGAAUGCUGACAUAAGUAACGAUAAAGCGGGUGAAAAGCCCGCUCGCCGGAAGACCAAGGGUUCCUGUCCAACGUUAAUCGGGGCAGGGUGAGUCGACCCCUAAGGCGAGGCCGAAAGGCGUAGUCGAUGGGAAACAGGUUAAUAUUCCUGUACUUGGUGUUACUGCGAAGGGGGGACGGAGAAGGCUAUGUUGGCCGGGCGACGGUUGUCCCGGUUUAAGCGUGUAGGCUGGUUUUCCAGGCAAAUCCGGAAAAUCAAGGCUGAGGCGUGAUGACGAGGCACUACGGUGCUGAAGCAACAAAUGCCCUGCUUCCAGGAAAAGCCUCUAAGCAUCAGGUAACAUCAAAUCGUACCCCAAACCGACACAGGUGGUCAGGUAGAGAAUACCAAGGCGCUUGAGAGAACUCGGGUGAAGGAACUAGGCAAAAUGGUGCCGUAACUUCGGGAGAAGGCACGCUGAUAUGUAGGUGAAGUCCCUUGCGGAUGGAGCUGAAAUCAGUCGAAGAUACCAGCUGGCUGCAACUGUUUAUUAAAAACACAGCACUGUGCAAACACGAAAGUGGACGUAUACGGUGUGACGCCUGCCCGGUGCCGGAAGGUUAAUUGAUGGGGUCAGCGCAAGCGAAGCUCUUGAUCGAAGCCCCGGUAAACGGCGGCCGUAACUAUAACGGUCCUAAGGUAGCGAAAUUCCUUGUCGGGUAAGUUCCGACCUGCACGAAUGGCGUAAUGAUGGCCAGGCUGUCUCCACCCGAGACUCAGUGAAAUUGAACUCGCUGUGAAGAUGCAGUGUACCCGCGGCAAGACGGAAAGACCCCGUGAACCUUUACUAUAGCUUGACACUGAACAUUGAGCCUUGAUGUGUAGGAUAGGUGGGAGGCUUUGAAGUGUGGACGCCAGUCUGCAUGGAGCCGACCUUGAAAUACCACCCUUUAAUGUUUGAUGUUCUAACGUUGACCCGUAAUCCGGGUUGCGGACAGUGUCUGGUGGGUAGUUUGACUGGGGCGGUCUCCUCCUAAAGAGUAACGGAGGAGCACGAAGGUUGGCUAAUCCUGGUCGGACAUCAGGAGGUUAGUGCAAUGGCAUAAGCCAGCUUGACUGCGAGCGUGACGGCGCGAGCAGGUGCGAAAGCAGGUCAUAGUGAUCCGGUGGUUCUGAAUGGAAGGGCCAUCGCUCAACGGAUAAAAGGUACUCCGGGGAUAACAGGCUGAUACCGCCCAAGAGUUCAUAUCGACGGCGGUGUUUGGCACCUCGAUGUCGGCUCAUCACAUCCUGGGGCUGAAGUAGGUCCCAAGGGUAUGGCUGUUCGCCAUUUAAAGUGGUACGCGAGCUGGGUUUAGAACGUCGUGAGACAGUUCGGUCCCUAUCUGCCGUGGGCGCUGGAGAACUGAGGGGGGCUGCUCCUAGUACGAGAGGACCGGAGUGGACGCAUCACUGGUGUUCGGGUUGUCAUGCCAAUGGCACUGCCCGGUAGCUAAAUGCGGAAGAGAUAAGUGCUGAAAGCAUCUAAGCACGAAACUUGCCCCGAGAUGAGUUCUCCCUGACCCUUUAAGGGUCCUGAAGGAACGUUGAAGACGACGACGUUGAUAGGCCGGGUGUGUAAGCGCAGCGAUGCGUUGAGCUAACCGGUACUAAUGAACCGUGAGACUUAACCUU
rnacentral:rRNA from 1 species